CCCUUAGAUGUUCUGGGCCGCACGCGCGCUACACUGACGAAGUCAGCGAGCAUGUCCUACGCCGACAGGUGCGGGGAAUCUUGUCAAACUUCGUCGUGAUGGGGAUUGAUUUUUGAAAUUCUUGAUCAUAAACGUGGAAUUCCUAGUAAGCGCAAGUCAGCAGCUUGCGUUGAUUACGUCCCUGCCCUUUGUACACACCGCCCGUCGCUACUACCGAUUGAAUGGUUUAGUGAGAUCUUCGGAUUGGCGCCACUGCAGCUCAGCAAUGGGCUUGGUGGAUGCCGAAAAGUUGAUCAAACUUGAUCAUUUAGAGGAAGUAAAAGUCGUAACA
rnacentral:rRNA from 1 species